CUAGCAUGAUUUUAGGAUCUAAAUUAGGUUACACUUGUGUAUAUAUAUUUGUAUAUUGUGUAGUCCAAAAAUAUGAAGAAGAGUAUUUUCUCUCCCUUUUUCUUACUUUACAUGGUAUCAGAGCUUCAGGCUCUGUUAUCAGUUUGUCUUUUGACGUGACCCUAUUGAGUCACUUUUAGGUCUUUCUUGUGUGAAUUAUAAUGGCAGAUAUGAAAGGUAGUAGUAGAGAGAUGAAAACAGUAAUUUCUGAUGUUAUUCCUACAACAUCAAAAAUUACUGAACACAAAUUGAGUGGAAAAAAAGUUUUUAGAUUGGAGUAAAACUAUUCGGAUAUAUCUGCGCAGCAUCGAUAGAGAUGAUCAUCUCACUGAUGACCCACCCGUUGAUGGAGAAGAAAAGACGGUUUGGCUAAGGGAAGAUGCAAAACUAUUUUUGCACUAGUCAUGUGAGAACUGGAGAACAGUUAGCUGAUAUUUUCACUAAGCCUCUAAAUGGUCCGAGAAUUGAUUACAUUUGUGACAAGAUGGGCAUGAUUAACAUCUAUGCUCCAUCUUGAGGGGGAGUGUUGAAGAUAUGUGAUCUGAUAUUAUGGAAAGAUUUGAUAUUGUAAAUAUUAGGAAAGAUUUGAUUAUAGUAUCAUAUGAUUAUAGUAUCAUAUAUUAAUUAGGUAUCAUAUGAUUAUAGUAUCAUAUAUUAAUUAGGUAGUAGAUUGAUUUAGAUUAGCAUGAUUUUAGGAUCUAAAUUAGGUUACACUUGUGUAUAUAUAUUUGUAUAUUGUGUAGUCCAAAAAUAUGGAGAAGAGUAUUUUCUCUCCCUUUUUUCUUAGUUUACAACGAGCAUUUGAAAAGAUUCUUGGCCAACAUAUUCAUGGAAUAAAAUAUUUCAUGGUGCCAGAGCAUCUGGAUUUUGACUAGAUGGAAAGGUAGAAAUCCUUGUUGCACCAUUCCCUGUAAUAUCUGAAGAAGAUGAAAAUUUUAUAUCGCAAAAUUGCUUAUCAAACUUGGCUGGUUCUACUUUAUUUGUUUCAAUUAGAGCCCUGAAGCACUGUCCCCUAACAGAAAAAGGCAUGGUAGGGGAAAUUAGUUUGAAAGCUUUGUUUAGUCUUAUAUCCUUUUCUGGGAAAAUCACUUUAAUAGCUGGCAUUAGGAAAACUUGGAACACAUUGGAUUAUAAAGGCCAAUACGCUCUUGGAUGAGUCAGCAGAAUGCUUUAGAGUUGCAGUUAAACUUGACAAAGAUUAACCAUGUAAAACUUCUACUUUUGGCAAAAGAAGAUCGGCUUCACGAGCUAAUUUCAAAAGUUAUCUCCUUGUCAAAGUAGCUAGUAUGAUACAUAGAUUUUAUGCUGGAUGAUCUCUACAUAAAAAAGAAAGUAGUUUGUGUCCAAAAUCCCAGGUCACUAUAAUACUUAUGAUGUAUCUGAAAAACUGCAAGGACAUGUUCACUAAAAAUUUCUUUUUGAUCAAUUAGAACCGUCUUCAGAAAAGUACUUGUAGAUUGUUACAUCAAUUAGGGCUUGAUAUCUCUCUUUCCUUUUGGUGUAAUGUUUUUUCUGUUACUCUUCUAUCAUUUAUUUGGGAUAUGAGAGAAAGUAUGAUUCAAGGAACAUUUUUGACUUUGGUCAAAAUUUCAGAGUUGGUGGCACUCUAUUCCUUGAUGUUCUUGAAGUGGCAUAUAAAAUCCAAAAAUCUUUAUUCAUGGUUUUCCUAGAUCUCAAAUCUAAAUGUUUUAGGAAGGAAAAAUAAAAACUGAUAUGCUUGCCAAGUUUGCAGUAAUGUGUCAAAGAGUUAUAGUCUUCUUUAGGCUGUUUUUGUCCUGAGAUAGUCCCUCAAAGAAUUGGGCUCUGUUUCCUGGACUCGACAGUUUGCUAGGAAGCACCACAGAUACCGGGUAUUGAGUCGGUUUGGAUCUGGUGAAAGAUGAUUGGGGUUACUUUGACUUCCGAUUCUAUUCAAGCUUUAGCUAAUGUGAAGGAAAACUGCUAGGAGAACUAGGCGAUGCUAAAAGAGUGGAGUCUGGCAAUGCUCCGAUUGCUUUAGGAUAUGUAUGCUUAAUGGGUCAUGUGAGAGUUGAUAAGGAUUGCCACAUGUUAUGUGAUUGAAGUCUUAUAGUCAGCAGAGUUAAUAUUUGAAGCAUUUAUCUAGGCUCCUGAUGUUUGGCUAAAGUAAUUAGUAUAGGCUUAAUUCGAAAAAAAAAUGAAUUGGGUAUUUUGCUGAGAAAACACGCAA